GUAAUAAUGCUAGUGAGCUCAGUUAUCUGUAUGGACCUUUAAACAAUGCUAACAACAGAACAGAAGAUGUAUGGACCCAUUGGAAGUGUGCAGUGUGGGCAUCAGGUGUGUAUUUUGAUGGUGAUGAACUAAAAGGAUUAUCUGAAGCUAUUGAAGAAGGACAAUCAUUGGUUUGUUGUAAGUGUAAUAAA